GAUGAACGCUAGCGGCAGGCUUAAUACAUGCAAGUCGUGGGGCAGCAGGACUGUAUCAAUACAGUGGCUGGCGACCGGCACGCGGGUGCAACACACGUACGCAACAUACCCUGAACUGGGGGAUAUCCCGGGGAAAGCCGGAUUAAUAGCCCGUAAUAUAAUGGAGUGUCAUCCCUUUGUUAUUAAAGCUCCUGCUGUUCGGGAUGGGCGUGCGGCUGCUUAGGUAGUUGGUUGAGGUAAUGGCUCCCCAAGCAUACGAUCAUUAACUGGUGUGAGAGCACGCCCAGUCACACGGGAACUGGGACCCGGGCCCCACUCCUACGGGAGGGUGCAGUAAGGAAUAGUGGGCACGGGAGGCAACUCUGACCCAGCCAUGCCGCGUGGAGUAGGAAGGCGCUCGGGGUUGUAAACUUCUUUUAUAGGGGACGAAACCUGUGUAUUCUUACGCAGUUGACGGUACCCUAGGAAUAAGCCCCGGCUAACUACGUG
rnacentral:rRNA from 1 species